rnacentral:lncRNA from 1 species
UUAAAAUAGCUCAAUUAGAAAGAAAGAUAAAAAAGCUAAAGAAGUGUAAAUAAAAGAGUUUUAAGUUUAACGGUGAUUGGGACCAUCUGUCACACCCCAAUAAUCCCACAUCGGAUAGGAAUAAGGAUGUGAUUGGAUAUAUAAGAGAGUUAGACACUUGUAAUAAUAACUGGGCUUAAGUAUUUUGGGCUGGUGGUUGGGCCAAACAAGUUAUUAUUAUUAGUAGGUUGGGUUGUUACAUUUGGUAUUAGAGCCAGUUCACCAGCCGGAAAAUGUGUGACGAGUCUCGGCUGAGCCAGGGUCUGAAAGAUAAGGUGAUAGGCUAUGCCGGAGUCUGUAUGACAAGGUUAUCGGCUAUGCUAGGGUCUGGAUGACAAGGUUAUGACAACGCUAGCGAGACGAGUCUCACAUCGCCUGGUGAUCUUGGAUUGUGUGGGUGUCCCACAUCGGAUAUGAAUGGGGAUGUGAUUGGGUAUAUAAAAGACUUAGACACUAGUAAUAAUAACUAGACUUAAGUAUUUUGGGCUGGUGGUUGGGCCCAACGAGUUAUUAUUGCUAGUGGGCUGUGUCGUUAUACCAUCGCAGUUCUCAAUUAUGUGUUUUAUUAAAUUUAUCGAUAAUAUUGUCAAAU